rnacentral:rRNA from 1 species
CCCUUAGACGUUCUGGGCCGCACGCGCGCUACACUGACCAGUGCAACAAGCAUCCGUCCUUGGCCGACAGGCCCGGGCAAUCUUUGAACGCUGGUCGUGAUGGGGAUAGACUUUUGCAAUUUUUGGUCUUCAACGAGGAAUUCCUAGUAAACGCAAGUCAUCAACUUGCAUUGAUUACGUCCCUGCCCUUUGUACACACCGCCCGUCGCACCUACCGGUUGAAUGGUCCGGUGAAGCCUCCGGAUUGGCGCGCACCUCGGUGCCGCCGAGAAGUUGGCUAAACCUUACCAUUUAGAGGAAGGUGAAGUCGUAACA